CGACGGUUUGCCUCGAUCGCGUUUUUCCGAGUUUUCCCGGGUUCUCGGGCACACAGUUUUCCGCGCGUGCCUUAUUGAAGACGAAACUCACAGCCGCCCGUCCGAAAAUUGCGCGGAAAAUCGUACAUCGAAAAAAUAUCGUUAAUUAAACCGUUAUCGGGGUUUUUUUUUUUUUUGAAAAAAAAAAAAUAAAAACCACUUUUACUACAUUACGUUCCGAAACACAUAAUAUAUAC